CCUACGGGUGGCAGCAGUGGGGAAUAUUGGACGAUGGGGGGAACCCUGAUCCAGCCAUGCCGCGUGUGUGAAGAAGGCCCUCGGGUUGUAAAGCACUUUCAGUGAGGAAGAACGCCUGGUGGUUAAUACCCAUCAGGAAAGACAUCACUCACAGAAGAAGCACCGGCUAACUCCGUGCCAGCAGCCGCGGUAAUACGGAGGGUGCGAGCGUUAAUCGGAAUUACUGGGCGUAAAGCGCGCGUAGGUGGCUUGAUAAGCCGGUUGUGAAAGCCCUGGGCUCAACCUGGGAACGGCAUCCGGAACUGUCAAGCUAGAGUGCAGGAGAGGAAGGUAGAAUUCCCGGUGUAGCGGUGAAAUGCGUAGAGAUCGGGAGGAAUACCAGUGGCGAAGGCGGCCUUCUGGACUGACACUGACACUGAGGUGCGAAAGCGUGGGUAGCAAACAGGAUUAGAUACCCCAGUAGUC
rnacentral:rRNA from 1 species